UUUUAUAACACAUUUAUAUGUCCGACUCUCUCACUCUCAGCUAGCCUUUUCACCAGGGCCACAACCACCAACCCAACACCUCCCACCACCACACCCACUAUUGAAACAACCUGUAACAACCAAACUAUUACCGUCCACCGCCAAUGAAACCCCACCAAAACCCGAACAACAUCUUCAACUUUGCGCCGCAUAUGGUUAGAUCUGAUUGGAUUUCAUGCCAGUUGUAGGCUUUGAAACGAGAAGGAUGGUCAGAUAUGAGAUAUCACAGUUCUUAUCCUGAUUGUAUAAAUCUAAUGCUUCACUGAGUUGAUGCCUAUCGGCUACGGAGAUAGCGUUUCAGCAACGUCAAUGGGUGUUGAUGUCUUCCGACGCGGUGACGGAGAUGAUGUUGUGAAGAAGAAUAACAGUGAUGGGUGGCGAUUAGGUAAGAGAUUUUGUUUUUGUUAGGGUUUCUUCUAUAUCUGCAGAUUAGGUCAGAAUUUAGAGAUUUGGGGGAUUUCUUUCAAUGGCGGGUACAGUGGAUUAGCUUAGACUUUAGAGAUCCUGAAAGUGAUUUUGUUGAACGGUUGUGUUUUUGGGUUGUUUAGGGGAGAUGUAGGAAAGUGAACGUGAAGAUGUUAGAAUCUGGAUUUUGUUGCAGAUUUGAAUGCGAAGCAUAGGGUAAGAUUAGGGAAGUUCAAGAGAGAUCCGGAUUCAAUAGCAAGAGAGGGAGAGAACUUGCAGGCUAUCUAGAGCCCUGAUACUAAAUUAAUCGUUGUUAUUGUAAGUAAGAAAUUGGCAAACCUCUGCAUUGUUUGAUUUUGAUUCACGUGUGGAAUAAUGUAAGUUUUAUACGUUUGCCUAUUCAAUCCAUCUUAUCGGUAGCCAUUUGCAGCA